rnacentral:rRNA from 1 species
GCAUACGCCCUGAGGGGGAAAGUGGGGGAUCGCAAGACCUCACGUUAUUCGAGCGGCCGACGUCUGAUUAGCUAGUUGGUGGGGUAAAGGCCUACCAAGGCGACGAUCAGUAGCGGGUCUGAGAGGAUGAUCCGCCACACUGGAACUGAGACACGGUCCAGACUCCUACGGGAGGCAGCAGUGGGGAAUUUUGGACAAUGGGGGCAACCCUGAUCCAGCCAUUCCGCGUGAGUGAAGAAGGCCUUCGGGUUGUAAAGCUCUUUCAGCUGGAACGAAACGGUACAUCCUAAUACGGUGUGCUAAUGACGGUACCGGCAGAAGAAGCACCGGCUAACUACGUGCCAGCAGCCCGCGGUAAUACGUAGGGUGCGAGCGUUAAUCGGAAUUACUGGGCGUAAAGCGUGCGCAGGCGGAUUGUUAAGCAAGAUGUGAAAUCCCCGGGCUUAACCUGGGAAUGGCAUUUUAACUGGCAGUCUAAAAUGUGUCAGAAGGGGGUGGAA